UACGUAGGGGGCAAGCGUUGUCCGGAAUCAUUGGGCGUAAAGCGCGUGUAGGCGGUUCGGUAAGUCGGCUGUGAAAGUCCAGGGCUCAACCCUGGGAUGCCGGUCGAUACUGCCGGACUAGAGUUCGGAAGAGGCGAGUGGAAUUCCCGGUGUAGAGGUGAAAUUCGUAGAUAUCGGGAGGAACACCGGUGGCGAAGGCGGCGACCUGGGUCGAUACUGACGCUGAGGUGCGAAAGCGUGGGAGCAAACAGG
rnacentral:rRNA from 1 species